UUCUCGUCUUCUCCGUCUCGUCUUUUAGCAUCGACACAUCUCAGCCUUCGUUCUUGACAGCGAACAACAAUUCUUGUCUCCUCAACGUUCCUAAUUCCGAUACCCUUUCGACAAUGCCUUUGGCUUCGGUUCUGAUUGUUGUUUCCUCGGCCAAGGUUUUGGUUCGUUGACACAGUUGAGGAACAGGGAUCUGAGCUCUGUCCCUGACUUCUUAUCUUCUCCGGUAAACAACAACUUAACGACGUUAUACGGAGGAGGAGGUGGAUUCACUCCUUCGGAGUCACAAGGCUUCACCAGUCUUGCGAAAGUUCUGAAGCCUUUAGAGAUUUUAGCAUCCUCUGGUGCACAGCCUACUCUGUUCUAGAUGCCUGCAAAGAAGGAGGAAGCUUAAUGAUAGGCUUUAUAUGCAGAGUGUGGUGAAGCCGAUUAAGAAGGAUGCGAAGAGAGCUGUGAUGAAGAAGAAUCCUUUGAAGAAUUUGAAUGUGAUGUUGAAGUUGAACCCGUAUGCAAAGACGGCGAAGCGGAUGUCUUUUUUGGCUGAGGCACAGAGGGUUAAGGCUAAGAAGGAGAAGCUCACCAAGAAUAGGAAAACUGUCACCGUGAGAAGACUUGGAAGAGGAGCUUCGUCUGUGGGCAUCUUACAGAGGCCAAACACUGACCAAAACUGUGCGAGGCAUGAUGUAUUACCGAAAGGCUUUGGAGCUCCAGGCCUUCCUUGAUAUGGCAAAGGAUGAAGGUGCCUCACGAAACUUUGUUAUGAUUGCUUCUAAAACCUGUGUACACAUUCCUGAAUCUGCUUUCCCCAAAAGAGAGAAUAUUGAAAAAAUGGAACAGGUUCAAGAUGUUCAAUAUGCAAUUUGAUGAGUUGCAUCAGAGACAAUCACAAUGGACAGUUCCAGUCACAGAGCUAAGAGAGUCACUAAGAAUUGCUGUUACUGAAGUAUUAUUGCCUGCUUAUAGAUCAUUCCUCAAACGCUUUGGGUAAAAUCCUGUGUUUGUUUGUAUUUUUCUUAGUGAUGAGUGUCUAAAUUACUUGGAAACGAGUUAUUUCUCUUUUGUAUAACGUUUACGUAUCAAGCUUUGAGCUAAAACCUGAUCUCUGUCAGAAAGUAUCAAGCUUUGAGCUUGAUGAUUCUCUAGUUCAUUGUGUUCUUCCAAGAUUUGAGGUAGAAGAUGGAGCAGUUCAAAGAGAGGAAGUUCGCAGAGAAUGUGGUAAAGGUCAAGAAGAGUGUAAAGUCAUCAGUCAUCAGUCAUCAGUCACGGACUUGUGUAGUAAUCACUUGUGCAAUGCUUACGUACUAACUCUUGUAGUCUUGUAUUCUUGCAAACUCUUGUAAUCAUCAGUCACGGACUUGUAAAGCUUUAUGUCUAUAUAAACUUGUAAACUCUUAUAGUCUUGUCUGUAUAAACUUUGUAUACCAAACUUUUAUUCACAACACAACACUUUCUUCA